GCCCUUAUAGCUCAGUGGUAGAGCGUUGGUCUUGUAAACCAAAGGUCCGUAGUUCGAUCCUGCGUGGGGGCA
rnacentral:tRNA from 1 species